rnacentral:rRNA from 1 species
CCGGCGCACGGGUGAGUAACGCGUAUCCAACCUGCCCACCACUUGGGGAUAACCUUGCGAAAGUAAGACUAAUACCCAAUGAUAUCUCUAGAAGACAUCUGAAAGAGAUUAAAGAUUUAUCGGUGAUGGAUGGGGAUGCAUCUGAUUAGCUUGUUGGCGGGGUAACGGCCCACCAAGGCAACGAUCAGUAGGGGUUCUGAGAGGAAGGUCCCCCACAUUGGAACUGAGACACGGUCCAA